rnacentral:rRNA from 1 species
AUUGAACGCUGGCGGCAGGCCUAACACAUGCAAGUCGAACGGUAACAGGGAUCAGCUUGCUGAUUCGCUGACGAGUGGCGGACGGGUGAGCAAUGUCUGGGAAACUGCCUGAUGGAGGGGGAUAACUACUGGAAACGGUAGCUAAUACCGCAUAACGUCGCAAGACCAAAGAGGGGGCCCUUCGGGCCUCUUGCCAUCGGAUGUGCCCAGAUGGGAUUAGCUAGUAGGUGGGGUAACGGCUCACCUAGGCGACGAUCCCUAGCUGGUCUGAGAGGAUGACCAGCCACACUGGAACUGAGACACGGUCCAGACUCCUACGGGAGGCAGCAGUGGGGAAUAUUGCACAAUGGGCGAAAGCCUGAUGCAGCCAUGCCGCGUGUAUGAAGAAGGCCUUCGGGUUGUAAAGUACUUUCAGCGGGGAGGAAGGGAAUAAAGUUAAUACCUUUGCUCAUUGACGUUACCCGCAGAAGAAGCACCGGCUAACUCCGUG